ACCUACGGGAGGCAGCAGUGGGGAAUAUUGCACAAUGGGGGAAACCCUGAUGCAGCAACGCCGCGUGAGUGAAGAAGGUUUUCGGAUUGUAAAGCUCUGUUAGCAGGGAAGAGGAAGGACGGUACCUGCAGAGGAAGCCACGGCUAACUACGUGCCAGCAGCCGCGGUAAUACGUAGGAUGCGAGCGUUAUCCGGAUUUAUUGGGUUUAAAGGGUGCGCAGGCGGAUUUUUAAGUCAGCGGUCAAAUCGUGGGGCUCAACCCCAUCCAGCCGUUGAAACUGGGGAUCUAGAGUGUGCGAGAGGUA
rnacentral:rRNA from 1 species